UACGAAGAUACUUAUGAUGAGUGUCCACACAGAUUGAUGGUUUAGAUUUAGUUAAAGCCCGAGCUUUAAUUAAUAACGUAAGUUAUUGAUUAAAGCUUUUUGCUUUAUGCUCUUUAACAAUUUGGAAAGCUGACUGAUUGAUUUACUUACGAGUAAUUCAAUCAAAUUUAAAAGUUCUCAAUGUUUAUCUUUCAUUAGAUAAACACAACAAACACAUUCAAGUGUCUUGUAUUCGAAUCGAUGUUUACAUUGAUUCACAAUUGAGUCCGGCAAACAGUUAUCAAGAAUUAACCCUUCUUGAUGACAACCAAAAACCUUGGUUAGUUGCCAUACACUAAGACCCUUUCGGGUUG
rnacentral:misc_RNA from 1 species